GAUCCUGGCUCAGGAUGAACGCUAGCUGCAGGCUUAACACAUGCAAGUCGAGGGGAAACGACAUCGAAAGCUUGCUUUUGAUGGGCGUCGACCGGCGCACGGGUGAGUAACGCGUAUCCAACCUGCCCACCACUUGGGGGAUAACCUUGCGAAAGUAAGACUAAUACCCAAUGACAUCCCACGAAGACAUCUGAAUGGGAUUAAAGAUUUAUCGGUGAUGGAUGGGGAGUGCGUCUGAUUAG
rnacentral:rRNA from 1 species